rnacentral:rRNA from 1 species
UUGACCUCGAAUCAGGUAGGGAUACCCGCUGAACUUAAGCAUAUCAAUAAGCGGAGGAAAAGAAACCAACCGGGAUUACCCUAGUAACGGCGAGUGAAGCGGUAACAGCUCAAAUUUGAAAUCUGGCUCCCUGCGGAGUCCGAGUUGUAAUUUGUAGAAGAUGCUUUGGGUGCUUGGCCCGGUCUAAGUUCCUUGGAACAGGACGUCGUAGAGGGUGAGAAUCCCGUAUGCGGCCGGUGUCGGCGCCCGUGUAAAGCUCUUUCGACGAGUCGAGUUGUUUGGGAAUGCAGCUCAAAAUGGGUGGUAAAUUUCAUCUAAAGCUAAAUAUGGGCCAGAGACCGAUAGCGCACAAGUAGAGUGAUCGAAAGAUGAAAAGCACUUUGGAAAGAGAGUUAAACAGUACGUGAAAUUGUUGAAAGGGAAGCGCUUGCAACCAGACUUGGGCGUCGCUGAUCAUCCAAAGCCUCUCUUUGGUGCACUCGACGACGCACAGGCCAGCAUCGGUUGGAGUGGUGGGAGAAAGGUUGCCGGAACGUGGCUCUUUUCGGAGAGUGUUAUAGCCGGCGACGCAAUACCGCCUACCCCGACCGAGGACCGCGCUUCGGCUAGGAUGCUGGCGUAAUGGCUGUAAGCGACCCGUCUUGAAACACGGACCAAGGAGUCUAACAUCUAUGCGAGUGUUUGGGUGUGAAAACCCAUGCGCGGAAUGAAAGUGAACGCAGGUGAGAACCCUUCGAGGGCGCAUCAUCGACCGAUCCUGAUGUCUUCG